UGAGCGGAAACUACGGCAGCUUUCAGCAGGCAUUUGGCGUCCCAUCCCACUUUCAGUCGAAUCCGAACAUCGGCCUCUUCAUUCAGGACGAAUGGAGACCGCGCUCGGAUUUGACGGUGAACGCGGGGCUGCGUUACGACGCCCAGUUCCUGCCGGAUCCGAUCGAAACGGACCCCAACAACUUCGCACCCAGACUGGGACUGGCCUACGCCC
rnacentral:misc_RNA from 1 species